UAUGGCAUCUCGACAAAAUGUUAACUAAUAUGGAGAAUUGCACUUUCUAUUUUUCAUCUCAAUGUUGGAACUCAUAUACCGACAUGUUCUAGUUCAAGGAAUACCUGUGAGGCCAAUCCUCCUCUCCUAGGGCUCGCGAUCAUCCUUUGACUGCCGGCUCUUCCCGCCGGCCGGCCUUCAAUGACCUGUUCAUGUGGGCAACCUCAGCAGCAGCCGAACAAGGAGAUGAGGCCACCCAAUGUAGCCUAUGGGAUGACGAUGGACCAAUGCGGCCUGCGAUGGCGAAGGAGGCGCUGCGGGAGAUUGCAAUUCAAGGGAUGGGAGAGGCUGAGCCCACCCGAGCUGUGCGUGCUCCAGUAGAAGAUAACAAGGGGUCUUCCAACGGCCAUCCAACAAGCACCAAUGAGCCUGUACGUCGAUCAUCGCCGUUGAAAAACUGGGCAGAGCGUCUAAAGCAAGAUGCAAUUGAGGAAGAUGCCUAUAGUGAACUCCUAUAGGUUAGCAAUGAGAACGAACAACCAACAGUGUACAUCCCUGCAGAAGAUAUUGAGUUGAUGAAGCGGCCGUUCGCUUUCACAGCAACAGGCUAUUUCUUUGGUGGAGAUACCCGUAGAAAUUUUGAUUUUGGUUUUACAUCCACCCAAAGCUGCUUCAAAGUCGUGGCCCUUUUCUAGUGCGAGUAGACUGUCAAGAAGAACUCGCGGUGGUGCUGCGAAAUGGAGGUUGGAAUCUGGGUGGAAAAACAUUCAUCGUCAGCAGAUGGUUCCCAGAAAUGCCAUUGAACGUUGAAGACCCAGUCCUCCUACCUAUCUGGAUUAGACUGUCGUUUUUCUGGAACCAUAGGCUUCUCAGUGGAGUUGCCAGAUCUUUGGGCGGAGAACUGCUGGAGGUGGACGCACCAACCAAGACCAUGCUCCGACUGGCUUUUGCCCGCAUAAGAAUUUCAGUCUCGCUGAAAUUUGUCCCCAAAUCCAUAGUCAAACUUGUGCAAGGGAGAGAUAAAACCAUUACUCAGGAAAUCUACUAUGAAGAACAUCUCCGAUUUUGCCCGGUGUACAAGUCGUGCUCUCACUAUAUAGAAAACUACAAACCUGUACAGGCUCCUCUUACGCCCUGUUUGGUUGGAGGGAAAGGCAGGGAAAGGAAGAAAGUUUGUCUGGCUGGGAGGGAAGGGAAAGGAAAGGGAGGGAAAGGAAAGGAGAGUCUAGUUUAAAUCCAAUCCCUCCAAAAUUGGAGGGAUUGGGAAGGAAAGGAAAGAACACCAAUCGUUGCCUCCCUUUCUACCCACAAUACCCCUCCACCCACGAGUCUUGUUUUUCUAUCAAAAAGUAGGAAAGGGAAGAGCACGGACUGUUGCCUCCUUCCCCUCCAGGAGAAACAGGGCACACCUGCUGCGAUACCCUGUUCCAUCGCCGCUGCGACACCCUGUUCCAACGCCGUCUGAAACAAGGCAAAUCCAAUGGCAAGAAAGUGGAUGAUGGCACGUGUUCUGAACUAUGAAAAGCUAGUAAAUUUAUUUGGUAAGGAUAGAGCAACAGGGGAAGGAGCAAUGACAGCGAAAGAAAAGUGCAGCCGAAUGACUUCAACGUGUGAGAGUGUUGGCAAGACAAUCCAGCUUAUUGAUGAAAUGGUUUAUCAAAAUCAAACAGUAUUAGAACCAUUUAUCAACCUAGGAGACAGUGUGAAGUCCAAGUUGAGCCCAACACAGGUUCAUUGUUAAAGCGUAAAAGGAGAAGAAGUGCAAAUGAAGAUGAUUUAAAAGAGAUUGAAAUAAUGGAAGAUGCUUUUGAGAAAGUUGCUAAUGCAAUUGAAAAAAGUAAUGUCGUACCAGAGCCGAGACAGUCAAAUAAAUAUUCUAAAGAAGACAUAUUUCCAGCAUUUGAAGUUAUUGGUCUUGAAGAAGAGUUACAAACCGAAGCAUAUCUUUAUCUUACUGAUGAUAAAGAUAGGAUGAAAACAUUUUUUGCUUGUCCUUCUUCUAAGCGAAAGAAUGUUUUACUUAGGAUGCUUAGCAGAGCUGGAAUUAUGUAACACAUAAUGUUGUUUUUUAUUUUGCUAUGUGAUUUUUUUUUGUCUUUAGACAAUUAUUUUGUUUACCAACAUUUUGUUUGAUUGAUCUAAAGUUAUUACUUAAGAGGAUAUUGCCCUGUUGUUCUGA